AUUGAACGCUGGCGGCAGGCCUAACACAUGCAAGUCGAACGGUAACAGGAAACAGCUUGCUGUUUCGCUGACGAGUGGCGGACGGGUGAGUAAUGUCUGGGAAACUGCCUGAUGGAGGGGGAUAACUACUGGAAACGGUAACUAAUACCGCAUAACGUCGCAAGACCAAAGAGGGGGACCUUCGGGCCUCUUGCCAUCGGAUGUGACCAGAUGGGAUUAGCUAGUAGGUGGGGUAACGGCUCACCUAGGCGACGAUCCCUAGCUGGUCUGAGAGGAUGACCAGCCACACUGGAACUGAGACACGGUCCAGACUCCUACGGGAGGCAGCAGUGGGGAAUAUUGCACAAUGGGCGCAAGCCUGAUGCAGCCAUGCCGCGUGUAUGAAGAAGGCCUUCGGGUUGUAAAGUACUUUCAGCGGGGAGGAAGGGAGUAAAGUUAAUACCUUUGCUCAUUGGCGUUACCCGCAGAAGAAGCACCGGCUAACUCCGUGCCAGCCGCCGCAGUAA
rnacentral:rRNA from 1 species